AGACCCGAAACCCGGUGAUCUAGCCAUGGGCAGGUUGAAGGUUGGGUAACACUAACUGGAGGACCGAACCGACUAAUGUUGAAAAAUUAGCGGAUGACCUGUGGCUGGGGGUGAAAGGCCAAUCAAACCGGGAGAUAGCUGGUUCUCCCCGAAAGCUAUUUAGGUAGCGCCUCGUGAAUUCAUCUCCGGGGGUAGAGCACUGUUUCGGCUAGGGGGCCAUCCCGGCUUACCAACCCGAUGCAAACUGCGAAUACCGGAGAAUGUUAUCACGGGAGACACACGGCGGGUGCUAACGUCCGUCGUGAAGAGGGAAACAACCCAGACCGCCAGCUAAGGUCCCAAAGUCAUGGUUAAGUGGGAAACGAUGUGGGAAGGCCCAGACAGCCAGGAUGUUGGCUUAGAAGCAGCCAUCAUUUAAAGAAAGCGUAAUAGCUCACUGGUCGAGUCGGCCUGCGCGGAAGAUGUAACGGGGCUAAACCAUGCACCGAAGCUGCGGCAGCGACACUAUGUGUUGUUGGGUAGGGGAGCGUUCUGUAAGCCUGUGAAGGUGUGCUGUGAGGCAUGCUGGAGGUAUCAGAAGUGCGAAUGCUGACAUAAGUAACGAUAAAGCGGGUGAAAAGCCCGCUCGCCGGAAGACCAAGGGUUCCUGUCCAACGUUAAUCGGGGCAGGGUGAGUCGACCCCUAAGGCGAGGCCGAAAGGCGUAGUCGAUGGGAAACAGGUUAAUAUUCCUGUACUUGGUGUUACUGCGAAGGGGGGACGGAGAAGGCUAUGUCGGCCGGGCGACGGUUGUCCCGGUUUAAGCGUGUAGGCUGACUUUCCAGGCAAAUCCGGAAGGUUAAGGCUGAGGCGUGAUGACGAGGCACCACGGUGCUGAAGUGACAAAUGCCCUGCUUCCAGGAAAAGCCUCUAAGCAUCAGGUAACAU
rnacentral:rRNA from 1 species